GCAUUUUUUAAUGUGAUAAAAUGGUUUGCAUACAUGAUUAAGGAAUUAAGUAAUUGUUGUUGUCUUCUUAGGCGAAUUCCCUUCUAGCGGGCAUCAUUAUGAAUUCAAUAAUUAAAAUCAUAACAAAUUUCGGAAUGCGUAAA